rnacentral:lncRNA from 1 species
UCAUUUUUGGUCAGAGCAUUUCUGAGAAUUAAAACAGGGUUUAGAGAUUUUAAGAGCUAAAACUACCAAAAACAAAAAAAUUUCACUGUUCUGUAGGAAUUCCAGAAAAUCCUUAGUCUCCAUUCUCAAAUCAUUCCUGAGUAGCUUCUGUGGUCCAAUUGCAUUGGAAGUUACUGUUCCAUUGGUUUUAAAGUUGAUUUCUGGUUCAUUCACUAAGUCUUGAUGUCAUUUGCUUUUAAUUCCUGUCCCUAUUACUACUGUUGUUCAACCUGUUGCUGCUUAUUUCUUCUUUAUUUCCUUCUUCUUCCAGGUAAUUCUCACAUCCUGAACCACAUGUGAAGUGCGGAUAUCUGUUUCAACUUGGAAGUUUAAUGAAAAUGUUUUUCGAUUGAAGUCCAGCUUUGGUCAUUUAAGGUCUUGUGAUUGCUAUGUAGUUCAUACUUUCCUUACACGUUUCAGUUUGUUCAUUUAUACUUAUGGUUGAAUCUCAUUUGUCAGUUAGCAUGGUGUCAUAAUUUAGCAAAUUUGUUUCGUUGAAUUUGUUGAUGUUUGGUUUGGUUGGAUGGAAGGUGUAAUGUUUAAUCUCCAGUAGUAUAAAUUUGAACCCUACAUGUGAGAUGAA